rnacentral:tRNA from 1 species
UACAAUUAAGUAUAAAAUGUACAUGAAUUUUUGAUAUUUAAGGAAUUGGUAAUUGGCCAUUAAUUGUAA